UACGUAGGAUGCAAGCGUUGUCCGGAAUUAUUGGGCGUAAAGAGCUCGUAGGCGGUUUGUCGCGUCUGCUGUGAAAACCUAGGGCUUAACCCUGGGCCUGCAGUGGGUACGGGCAGACUAGAGUGCGGUAGGGGAGACUGGAAUUCCUGGUGUAGCGGUGAAAUGCGCAGAUAUCAGGAGGAACACCGGUGGCGAAGGCGGGUCUCUGGGCAGUAACUGACGCUGAGGAGCGAAAGCGUGGGGAGCGAACAGG
rnacentral:rRNA from 1 species